AUUGAACGCUGGCGGCAGGCGUAACACAUGCAAGUCGAACGAGUGGCGGACGGGUGAGUAAUGUCUGGGAAACUGCCUGUUGGAGGGGGAUAACUACUGGGAACGGUAGCUAAUACCGCAUACCGUCGGAUGUGGCCAGAUGGGAUUGGCUUGUAGGUGGGGUAACGGUUCACCUAGGCGACGAUCGCUGGCUGGCCUGUGGGGAUGACCAGCCACACUGGACCUGAGACACGGUCCAGCCUCCUACGGGAGGCAGCAGUGGGGAAUAUUGCACAAUGGGUGCAAGCCUGAUGCAGCCAUGCCUGGUGUAUGACGAAGGCCUUCGGGUUGGAAAGUACUUUCAGCGGGGAGGCUUUACCCGCAGAAGAAGCACCGGCUAACUCCGUGCCAGCAGCCGCGGUAAUUC
rnacentral:rRNA from 1 species